GUAAAGUCUGGCAUAACUUUCUUUAAUAGAUAGAAUUAACCGAUAGACAUGAGUUGAAAACGUUUAACGUUUUCAGCUCAUUCUAAAUUAAAUAAUUUUUUAUUUCCAGCAAUAAUUAGGCUUGGUUUGAUAAAAAAAUUACUAUAAAUUUUUUAUGAAUUUGCUAAAAAAACAAAAACAGAAAAUAAAUUUUAUUUAAUAAUACAAGAUUAUUGAAAUUUAUAGUUUAAUUUAGCUAAUUUUGUGCCAGCAGCAGCGGUUAAACAAAAGAAUUUAUUUUUUAGGCUAAAAAUUUAAAAUAAAAGUAAAUAAUAUUUUUUUUUUCAAAAAGGUGAAAUUUUUGAAAAAGAUUAUUAAAAGUUUAAAUAAAAAUUUCCUAAAAUAAACUAGGAUUAGAUACCCUAUUAUUAGAAAUAAUAUAUUGUUAGUAUAUAAAACUUACGAAAACAAAAAAUUAUGGCGGUAUCUUAAGCUUUUCAGAGGAAUUUGCUCUUUAAUGGAUAAAACACCCAAAUCUUACUAAAGUUGGUAAAGACAGCUUGUAUACCACUAUUAAAGCAAUUAUUAAUUAUAAUUGCUGCAAAUUUUAUACAAAAAAUAAGUUAAGUCAAGGUGCAGCUUAAACUUUAGGAUGAAGUGAAUUACAAUUCUCUUUAGACAAUUAUUUUUUUCUUAAAAAUAAAAAAAUUAGGAUUUGAAAGUAAAAAUUUUAAUAGAAUGAUUAUUUGAAUUAAGCUCUGAGAUAUGUACAUAUCGCCCGUCGCUCUUUUACAAAGAUAAGUCGUAACAAAGUUAAAAUACUGGAAAGUGUUUU
rnacentral:ncRNA from 1 species